CUGCUCCUGCCGUGGCUGGUGGGGUCGGGGUGGGCAGGAGGCGUUUGGCUCUUUUGGGAGCUGCCGUCGCUCGGGUGUCUGGCGGCGUCUGCCAGUCAGACCUUUCCUCCCCGCCGGUUGCGCGCUCCCGGGGCCGCGGGGCAGGGCGCAGCGGACGGGGUCGCACAGAGUCGCCCGGCCGGUCCCGCCCCGCCCCCUUGGCGGCGCGGGGCCUCCGGCGCGGGCCGGCGGAGCGGGAGCGGGGCAGCGGCGGCUGUGCCAGGCGGCCGGCGGGGGAGCCGGGUCCACUUGCCGGCGCAGGGGGAGCCGCCCCUCGGCUCCCGCCCGCCGCCACUGCCGGAGCUGCCGGAGAGGCGGGGCACGGGCCGCUCUGGAUGGUGGUGAAAAUGAUCAUAGAAAACUUCGAGGCGCUGAAAUCCUGGCUCAGCAAAACCUUGGAGCCCAUAUGUGAUGCAGAUCCAUCAGCUCUUGCUAAAUAUGUUCUUGCUCUGGUAAAGAAGGAUAAAAGUGAAAAAGAACUGAAGGCAUUGUGUGUUGAUCAGCUGGAUGUAUUUCUUCAAAAGGAGACUCAGAUCUUUGUUGAAAAACUUUUUGAGGCUGUGAAUACAAAGAGUUAUCUACCUCCACCAGAACAGCCAUCAUCAGGAAGCUUAAAAGUAGAAUUUUUUCAACAUCAAGAAAAAGACAUAAAAAAAGAGGAGGUAAGAAUUUGGACAAUUAAAGAGGAAGAGCGAGAGAAGAAGUUUUCUAGAAGAUUAAAUCACAGUCCUCCUCAGUCAAGUUCUCGGUACAGAGAAACCAGAAGCCGUGAUGAGAGAAAGAAAGAUGAACGUUCUCGCAAGAGAGAUUAUGACCGGAAUCCACCUAGGAGAGAUUCGUACAGAGACCGGUACAACAGAAGAAGAGGGCGGAGUCGGAGUUACAGCAGGAGUCGAAGUAGAAGUUGGAGCAAAGAGAGAUUGCGGGACCGGGAUAGGGACAGGAGCAGGAGCAGGACUAGAAGCAGAACACGAAGCAGAGAAAGGGAUCUGGGAAAGCCAAAAUAUGACCUGGAUAGAACAGAUCCAUUAGAAAACAGCUAUACUCCGGUUUCUUCUGUAACAAACAUUUCAUCUGGCCAUUACCCUGUCCCUACACUGAGCAGCACUAUUACAGUUAUUGCUCCUGCUCAUCACGGCAAUAACACGACUGAAAGUUGGUCAGAGUUCCAUGAAGAACAACUAGACCACAACUCAUAUGGAAGACCGCCACUGCCAAAGAAACGCUGUAGAGACUAUGAUGAAAAGGGUUUCUGUAUGAGAGGAGACAUGUGCCCUUUUGAUCAUGGCAGUGACCCAGUAGUUGUAGAAGAUGUGAAUCUUCCUGGCAUUCUGCCUUUUCCAGCACAACCCCCUGUUGUUGAAGGACCACCUCCUCCUGGACUUCCUCCCCCACCACCAAUUCUGAGUCCCCCACCCGUUAAUCUUAGACCUCCAGUGCCACCUCCAGGCCCUUUACCACCCAGCCUUCCACCUGUUACAGGACCACCACCUCCGCUUCCACCUUUACAACCUGCUGGUAUGGAUGCUCCCCCAAACUCAGCAACAAGUUCUGUUCCUACUGUUGUUACAACGGGUAUUCAUCACCAGCCACCUCCUGCACCACCCUCUCUCUUUACAGCAGAAACAUAUGACACAGAUGGAUAUAAUCCUGAAGCUCCAAGUAUAACAAACACUUCGAGGCCUAUGUAUAGGCACAGAGUUCAUGCCCAACGACCUAAUUUGAUAGGACUUACAUCAGGCGAUAUGGAUCUGCCACCCAGAGAGAAGCCACCAAAUAAGAGCAGUAUGAGGAUAGUGGUGGAUUCUGAGUCCAGGAAGAGAACAAUUGGUGCAGGGGAUGGUGGAAUUCCUACGAAGAAGACCUGGUUUGACAAGCAAAAUUUCAACAGAACAAACAGUCCUGGAUUUCAGAAGAAGGUACAGUUUGGAAAUGAAAAUACAAAGCUUGAAUUGAGGAAAGUUCCUCCAGAACUUAAUAAUAUCAGUAAACUUAACGAGCACUUCAGCAGAUUUGGAAGCUUGGUGAAUUUACAGGUUGCCUAUCAGGGUGAUCCAGAAGGUGCGCUUAUUCAGUUUGCCACACAUGAGGAGGCAAAGAAAGCUAUAUCAAGCACAGAAGCAGUAUUAAAUAAUCGUUUUAUUAAAGUCUAUUGGCAUCGAGAAGGCAGUGCUCCACAAAUGCAGGCGACCCCACAGAAGGUAAUACAGCCAUUAGUUCAGCAACCCAGCUUACCAGUAGUGAAGCAAUCAGUCAAGGAGCGAUUAGGUCCUGUACCUGCAAGUAAUAUUGAGCCUGUAGAAGCUCAGAGUGCCAAUACAGAAAAUGUUCAGAAUGUAACUAAAUUAUCUGUGAAGGAUAGACUGGGUUUUGUAUCAAAACCAGCUACUCCAACAACUGAAAAGGUAUUGUCCACUUCUACUGGCUUGACAAAAACUGUGUACAACCCUGCUGCUUUGAAGGCAGCACAGAAAUCUUUGCCUGUUGUUUCCACUUCCGUGCUAGACUCUAAUGAAGCACAGAAGAAAAAACAGGAAGCACUAAGACUUCAACAAGAUGUGAGGAAGAAGAAGCAAGAAAUCUUAGAAAAGCAUAUUGAAACACAAAAGAUGUUGAUUUCAAAAUUGGAGAAGAACAAAGCCAUGAAAUCAGAAGACAAAGCAGAAAUUAUGAAAACACUGGAAACGCUGACAAAUAGCAUUACCAAGCUAAAGGAUGAAUUAAAAGGUGUGUCAUCUGGAGGACCUCCUCUGAAAAGCAUGAAAACUAAGGCUCAGAUGCAGAAAGAAUUGCUGGAUACUGAGCUGGAUUUGUACAAGAAGAUGCAGGCUGGGGAAGAAGUCACUGAACUAAGACGAAAGUACACAGAACUGCAGCUUGAAGCUGCCAAACGAGGGAUCCUUUCUUCAAGUCGUGGCAGAGGAAUACAUGCAAGAGGUCGGGGUACAUCACGUAGCAGGGGGAGAGGAAUACGAGGCCGGGGACGAGGAAGAGGAGUUCCUGUUCAUGCAGUAGUGGAUCACCGACCAAGGGCAUUAGAGAUCUCUGCAUUCACAGAAAGUGAUAGGGAAGAUCUCCUUCCUCAUUUUGCGCAAUAUGGUGAAAUUGAAGAUUGCCAGAUCGAUGACUCUUCUCUUCAUGCAGUGAUUACUUUCAAGACAAGAGCUGAAGCUGAAGCUGCUGCUAUUCAUGGGUCUCGAUUCAAAGGACAGGAAUUGAAGUUGGCAUGGAAUAAGCCAGUUACCAAUAUGUCAGCUGUUGAAGCAGAAGAAGCUGAACCUGAAGAGGAAGAGUUUCAGGAAGAAUCUUUGGUAGAUGACUCUCUGCUUCAAGAUGAUGAUGAAGAGGAAGAGGAUAAUGAAUCUCGUUCAUGGAGAAGAUGAUUCAACUGAUCAUUGAAAAUGCUAGAACUGUACCUGUAUUGCAUUAGUAUUACCUAAUGUACUUUUGCAUAUUUGUAUUAAAGGGUUUUUGGUAAAUGUGAUGAAGUUGGAUUUAAGAAAUAGAUGAAAAAGCAGCUGAUUGAGUAUUUUGAGAGAGUGAUGUUUUACAUUUCAGUAAACAAUUGCUAAAGACAUCAUAUUAGGAACAUUAUGCAAUGUUUUUAUUACAUACUUCUACUGAAAGUUACAGAAUUCUUUGGGUUCUUUGUAAUUUAAUGAAUUGGUCAAAACACAGAUGACCAAGGGUUGUUAUAACAUAGAUGAUUUUUGUUCUAUUCCAGAUAUGGAAUGAAAAUUUGCAUUUAAAAUCUUUGUGAAUGUUUUCAGAAAUGAAUAGAUAACAGUACUAAACUGAAGUCUCUAAAGUUAUGUACUCAUAAUAUUGCAUAGUAGUAUGCUUAGGCUUUACUAUGUACUAGCCUUUUGUUGGAUUUGUGUACGUAUUUUACGUAUGGGUUUUAAUGAUACAGUGUAUGACUGCUUUGCAUAUAAGUCGUAUGACUUUAAGAUGUUUAAAAAAAAUAAAGAAAUGGAAUGGUCUUAAAAAAAAAAAAAGAAAAAAAAAGAAAAAAAGCAAUAACCAAAAAAGCUAAGACAACAGUCCUUGAUAAUGGAAAAAAAUUAAAAAAAGAAAAAACAGAAAAAAAAAAGAAAGACCAUUCCAAAUGGAAACCCCCACCCCCAUAUUCACAAAAGGAGCUAUAAUCACUGUCUUUUUACAUCAUCAUAAUAUUGAAAGCAUAAAAAAGGUAACUUGACAUAAUGUGAAGUCUCAUAUUUAAGUGUACUUUAAUGUAUGGCUUUGCACCAUGAAAGCCUUUGAAACGUUUUUAAAGCUUUAAAACUGAUGAUCUAAUUUAUUAUCAAGCAAUUCCAAAUAACGUUUCAUGAAUAAGAAAAGCCUUCUGUAUGCUUACAAUAUGGACCUGUAGAAGAAAACUUGAUCCCAUGAAGAACUAUGUAAUAAAAGAAAUGUAAUACAGCAUACUUUAAGAAAAGUGCAAAAUUUGGUAGGUAUUAGUCUGAAGAGCUUUUGAGCAUAUACAUUAAUGUUUCCUUUGUCCUUUUUAAAAAAAAAGAUUUUUUCCACUUUAAACCAAGGUUGGCAGGUGAUCGGUCUAUACCAUGGUCUGUUUGUUUAGUUUCUUUUUAAAAUGUAUAAAGCUAUGGGAUACUAAUAGAAUUGAGAUUUUUGUAGAAACACUGCAAUUUUUCACAGGGCAGUUUUGUUUUAAUAUAUUCUGCAGUUUCUCGCCUUCUUUAAAAGGAAGAAUGCUUAAAGCUUAGUCCUUUUGAAAUAAGGGACAUCCUGCACCCAAAAGAAUGGGUUCCAUGUUUCUUGAAUUGGCAUAUAGUCUCCUUUCCACAACUUUUUGUGCUGGGGAAAGUCACCUGUCAGCUAUUGGAAUUCUUCUGCAUCCAUUGACUUAUAAAUAAGCAUAGUAUAGUAUAAAUCCUCUACAUUGCUUAUCUGAUAGGUGUGGAGAUUAUGGUUUUUGUCUAUCGUAUCUUCAUUAUGUUCUUAAUAAUUUCUUUGAAGGCAAAUUACCACCCAAUAGGUCCAUUCUUUGAAACAUAAUUAUUUCACUCAGGGAUUUUUUUAUUUACAUGAACAGUGAAAGGAGAGUGAAACUCCAUGUCAUCCUUUAGGUGAGGAGUUCCCAGGUAGAUUUCUUGUUCUGUGAUCUUUUUUGCUGAUAGCCUUGGAUACCAAAUCUUUUCUUAGCUAUCUAUUAUGCACACCAUGUUUGCAAAAGUGUGCUUGUAGGUUUUUUUUUACACAACUUAACAUUACAUGGAAAUUCCACAGUUGACUGCCAGACUUGUAAUUUUUUUAAACAUGCUGUGAAGACUUGUACUGUAUUUGGGAAAACUAUGACUUUUUUACACUAAUUUCAGGCAAAAUAAAAUAUUUUAAGAAGUUUUUUUAAUCCGGUACUCCAAAUGAGCUACUUUGGUUCAUUGAAUAAAUACACGCAUUUUAACUCUUCUGUUUUUAAUAGUUUUAGUAUUUUCGUCAGGGCAAUAGUCAGUCCUAGAGACUGAAGUUUGUGGGCUUUUUUUUUUUUCCACCCCAUGGAACACUUAUCACAGGCCCAAGGACUGACAUGCUUCUCUAGAUAUAGUUCUUUUGUAUAUUUCAUUUAAUAUGUAUUCUAAUUGAAUGCCAACCCAGUACAAGUUAGUGAUAUGUCCAAAGAGUGAAAUCAGUAGGUCAUUUCAGGUAUUCUCAACUUAAAUUUUUCACUUGAUUUAACUUCAAAAUAGGGGCAUAGCCAAAUUAUGAUCACCUGAGUCAUCUGGUUUUCCUGUGACAAACUUCUUAGAAUUAUUUCUUUCUAAAGUCGGAUAAAAUGGAAGAAUUGUCGCUGAAAUAUAUUUUCUGUACUGCUGUUCUUGCCACGUUGCUUUCAGUUAUUGAAGGACAGACUCCAGAAUCAGGUGGUAUGGCUCACUGUUGGAAACAAACCCACUCAUUUUGUUUCCAACCAUAGUGGCAUUGUUUGUGGUAGGUAGUUUUCAGAGGCCUCCCAAUAUGAUUAAGUGCUAUUCUACAUAGGAGUUGUUCUUGCUAGUCUAAAUUGAUUCCCAUUUAUUCCCGUGUCCUUUUGGGCCCUAGUAGACUUUACAUUUUAUCACAAUUAAUGUGUUAAUUGCACAGUAAUUCAGGAUAUGCCUUAUGUCCAGCCAAUUCAUGCCAUGAUAAAGUGGCAAAUCAUUUUGGGCAUUUAUACAUGUGUUCUGGGAGUGGAGAGAGGGGAGGGCGCUUUAAUUAGAGCAGAUCUGAAAGCCGCUCUAAUUACAGCCCCCGAAAAUCAUGUGCAUCGAACAAGCUUUAGUUAAAGUGCCCAAGCUGCCACUUAGUGCGGGGAAGCUAAUACACAUUAUGCUGGAGUCUGCUCUUACGCGCUGUAAUUAUAGUGCAUCAGAACAUCCUCACUGGACGUGUAUAAGCGCCAAUUAAUUUUAAAUGUGGGACAUAUUUGUCACUGGUUUGCAUCACACUUUAAUUUGAACAUGUGCCAUAUUUGGCACUGGGCUGCAUUGUGUGUGGUUUUAGGUCCCAGUAUGUGGGCAGCACAGAACACGUGCCAGCAAGCUGUAAAUCACUCUGCAGCUUAAUUGCAGGGCUAAACUUGGACUCGGAGAGCCCAUCAGUUGAUGCACUCCCUGUGUGCUGGCACCUGAAACCACACAGUGCAGCCCAAUGCUGAGCAGUACUGCUUGACUUUCCAUUUGUCAGCCAGCAAAUUGAAACAGUGACAUGAGAAGUGUAGCAGUGGGGAUCCAUCUUGAUUCCUAGCUUCUAGCACCCAGUCUUGUGAUUGAGAUCCAACUGAUCCUUAUCUCAGAUCCCAGUUACAGGACUAAAUUAAUGUGUACCAGUACCCUUUAAAAACUGCCCUUUUAAUUUAUUUAUUUUUGCACCCUAUUGCUUGGUCUAGCCUAGUGUGUGUGUGCGCCUUUUUCCUUGCUUCAUCUUAUUCUGUAGCAGCAGUUAGUUCUCUGUGCCUUGUCACAGCCUGCCUUGGUCAGAAAGCCUGCCAUGACAUUUACUUUUUGGAGCAAUUUUCUAUUCUAAACAAUGAACCAUGCAUUCUGCAACUUUUGAUUCCCUCCUUAGCAUGUGUUGUUGCUCAGCUAAAUUGCUCUUUUUUUCUAACAGUUGCGCAAAUGGAGUUUGCUAGGCUUGAACAUUAAGAAGGAUGGCCAUCUUGUGUUUUUUUGGUUUGUUUUUCCCCAGAAAACCGUUCCAAAUUUCUAAAGGAAGAAAGGUAAAUCUUUUAAGAUGCUGUUUUCUGUUCUGGGUUGAAGGGCUUGAAUCAGAAAAAUCCAAAUAUGUUGUUCACUGAAAUGUUGAGUUAAAACUAAAAUAGUGGAAAAAGCUGUUGAGUGAUGUAUAGAGAAAAGCAUGACAGUUGAAAUGUUUCUUUUUCAUGGAAGCUGAUAUAAAUACCUCUAGUUAAUAUUUUCCUUUUAAAUAGCACUUUAGGCUUGUGAAUAUUUUUCUCCCUGAAAAUCCCAUUUUACAGUCGUCUUCCACCAAAGAAAGUAAAGUCCAUUUGAGGAAAUCUCAAAGGUGUAAUGAAAUGAAAUGCAAAACAACCAUGAUUCAAUCCAUGAGGGGUUUUUGUCAUUAUGGCCAGUUGAAAACUUUCAGUUGCAUAAUGACCACCUGUUAUUUAAGUCCCAAGUUUUCUGUUCAUCAAACCUUGACUAAUAUAUUACUUUAAUAAAGUAUUUGCCUUUUUUCAGGAGCAAACUGGUCUAAACAUGGGCAAAAUAAAUUCUUCUGAAGUGGAGCCGGCUGGAUGGGAAUGUAGGUGCUCUUUAAACGGGUGGGGAAAAAAAAGAAAGGAAAAUAAAGAGAAGAAAUUGCCCUGUCUCAUUAGUUCCAUAGUUUCUGCACCUGACUCCAACCAGAUGAUCAAAUAAUGCACUGAAUUAAAUUGCUACAUGAAAAUUGUAGCACCCAGAAAAAGGUAAUGUAAAAUGAACAAUAGAUAAGUGAGCAUAUUUAUUUUAUUAUUGAAAAAUUGAGAAAAAUUGUCAGAUAACAUAUUUUGAUUUCUUUUUGGUAUUUAAACAUACUUCAAACAGUUUAAAGAAUAUAUUACUCAUCUAGGAGCAUCCCUACAAACUGAAACCUACUGUGUAUAGUAUGAGACAAAGGUAUGGAAGCAUUCUUGCACAGAGCUGCCAGCGUGCUUAACACUUGAAGCCACAUCUUGAAACGCAAAGAAAAGUGAAGAUUCACUUUUUUUCAAUAGACUUGUUAUGCUGAGACCAAGUGAUGUCUUUUCGAAAUGACUUCUCGUCUGGUCCUGUAAUUCCCCUAUGGUACUGACACUGUACUAUCUUCCUGAUUUACUGCUGUCCUGAUGCACGUGCUUACUACAAUACCAAAACAUCCUGGUUUUAACUUUCUCCAAGAUCAUGACAAGUUAACUUUCUGCAAUGUUAUUUCCAUAGGUAUGUGAACUGUGUAUAGAUGCUUCCUUGUCAACAGCUGGAGAAAGACAAUAUUGGGGCACUCAUUCUUCAGAUGGGAUUCUUCUUUCAGAUAAAAGUGUCUGCAAUAGAAAUGUGGAGUUUUUUUUAAUUUUAUUUUGUUUUUGUAAAAUUUCAUUUUGUUAUUUUUAGAAUGUACAUUGGGACAAUGUCACUAAUUGUCAUAAUUUUAUUUGUUGGCAACAUUUCCCAAAACACUUAUCUUUGCAAUAGCUAUGUUGUACUUUUACAUAUGAUUUUUUUUUUUUUUUGGUAGCUUGUUUUUAAGUACUUUCUGAUGAGCAAAUUUGCUUUGCUAAGAAACAGAGGGAAAGAUAUUACAUUAUGACUUGUGGGUUUGGCUUCUCCUGAUAACAGUGGAGGGAUGUUUUUUGACAGCUGCAAUUUGAAGUCAUUUAAAAGCUGCUACUUUACUGUCCUUAGAACUUGAAUGAUCAUUGGAGCAUUUCCUCUGUUUAGCAGUAAAUGGUGAUUUCUGCUUUGUGGGCUUAGUACCCUUCUAAGCUGUGAAAAAAAAAGGAAAUGUCAUUAGACUUCUCCAAAUUUUUUUAUAAUGAUUCUUUGCUACAUGGAAGAUUUCUUCCCUCUGAGGCAAACCCAACCUUCUCUCUCUACAGCAAUUUGCUCUCUGGGGAGAUAAGAAAAAAGUUUCAUCAAUUGUAAAGGUUUCAUCAUUAUUCUCUAUCUUGCAUGGAAUCUUAUAUGAUAAAAAUGUUUGAGCCAAAAUGUUUCCUACUGGUGGAAAAAGCAGACGUUUGACAAAUAUGUAUGUUGAUAUAUGCAUGUUAAAUUGCAUAUUGUACCAAAACAAUGUGCAUCUUGCUAAUGCACAUUUGCUCUAGGUGGGAUGUACGGAAGCACAGAAAUGCCUUAAGGGCAUAAAAACGAUCAUCUUCCAGCUGUGCAGGACUGUGCUGCAUAAAGCUGGGGAAAAUGUCCUUUUUAUUAUAGUAUCCUGUUUUGAACGUGGAAAAAUGUUCUUUCUCAACAUUUUCAACUCACUUUCCUCUUAGGAUAAGAGACUUUUUACAGCUCAGGUGAUAAUGCUGUGUUUUCUCUUUUGAAAGCUAGAGGGCAGCAUGGGUACACAAGUGAAACACCCAGCAACUAAAAGUAAUUUGCUCUCAUUUCAACACCUCCUUUUUAUAUGAUUUCCCUGUUUUUCAGCUCUCAUGCUAAUAUUUACAUUUCUUUUAGAAGACUCUAUGCAUCUUUAUCAGCUCAGCAGAAAUUCUGCUUUUGAGUUGGCACAAAUGCCUUGUUUAGAUUUGGCUACAAGUGUUAGAAUUUAACCUUACAUGUUAAAAUCCAGAUAAAAUAAGAGAGCAUUCCUAUGUAGGAACAUUCAUCCACCCAUCCAUCCAACUCUUUUUUUCUUUAGUGGAAGUUGAAUUGUAUUUUUCUUAAUAGACUGUGAUAAAAACUGCAAAGAAAAAAUAGAUCUUGCGCAGUUAUCUUCUGUUCAUUGUGUUUUUUGUCAACUCUUUUGUCUGCCAAAUCUCAUUCAUAUCAAGCUCUAGAAUAAGUGCAUAGGUAGUGGGCACAGAGCUAAAGGGUCAUAUCCCAAAAGGAAAUGAGGUUUAACUACUUUCAUAUAAACCAUGAAAAAAAGGAACAUGCAUUUAGGCCACUUGAAAGUCUAAGGAAAUUUCUAUUGAUAAAGUAGAUAACUCUGGUUUGUGGCAGUCUAAUAUUUAUAGUAAUGCUUUGGUUUGAUUUCAAGCUGCACUAGCUUUCAGGAAGAAGUAACUUGGACUGGUACAAUGUAAUUGACAUGAAUCUGUUUCAGCUGCUGCAAUCAGAUGCUAUUGAUUUGUGUAACUUUGCUAUUCACUGAUCUCUACUUUGGAAGUUCCAAAUGUAGACCAUGAAACAUGGACUUCAGAUCCAGAUGUAUGGGACAAAAGAGGAACAGGCGUACCCUUUCGCUUUUCAUCCCUCUUUUCUUACCUCUUGUUGCUGGAUGUGAAACUUGCUGUCUUACCAGUUAGGGUUUUUAGAUCCUUAGAAACCAGCCAUAUGCACCUUGGCAUACACUUUCAGUGAACAUUAGCUGUCUUCCGAGAUGUCCUCUUUAUAUCUCUGUCAGUAGAAUAUGUGCCUCCAGCUUCACUGAGCUGAACAAAACUUAUAGGGAAGUCAUGCUCAUUAGGACCACAAGUGACCCCUCGUGUCACUUGAGACAAAUAUAUAGAACCCAUUGUUUUCAUAUUAAGUUACUUUGCUUGUAAUCUAUCUUGUUUGUAUAUCACCCAGCCUAAUGAUUGAGAGCAACAGUAAUAUAAUCGAAUUCAGGAUCCAAAAGAUUAUUUCAGUUUGGUUAGGAAGAGAGCAAUGUGUGAAAUGUAACUUGAUAGAAAGUAGGAGUAUGAUUAAGUAGAAAGGAAAAGACAGCCCAUUUUGAUGUCUGUUCUAUGAGAUGGCAGGUUUCUAGAAUCAAGGAAAAAUAUUUGAACUAUAAAAGGGUUAAAACUUUGACAGAGAACUUUGUUUAGCCCUUUUCUGAGUUUCUCUUAUACUUGAAAUAUAGUAUGUGUGGAACUUUUGUUUUAAUGGUUUAUUUACUUUUAGUCCAUAAUUCUGCCCCAAUGAGAAUAAAAUGGCAAAAAUUAUGUGGAAGGAGAAGCUUCCCUGGGUAAUGUUAACAAGGUAUUACUAUAUCUACUAGGUUGAAAUGUUUCAAACUUAGACCUUGUCUUCGUUGCUUCCAAGGACACCCCACAGGUAAAAGAUCGCUCUAAAGUUGUUCAUUAGAGAGUCCCACAUUUUCUUUCAAAGCACAGAUCAUUUUCAUUGUUCUCUUUUGUCUUCUAUGUUUCUGCCAUUAUAGUCCACAUUGUUUGAUGUUGUAGUGGGAGCAAGAGCCUUCUCUGGUCCCUCUUCUUUCUUCUUUCCUCCUUAAAGUGCCGGGCCCCAUUCUGAGCAGUUACCUUUUUUAGAAUCUCGAGUCCAAACAGUAAACACUAUUUGUGCUUGCCUUGUCUGCUCAGCGAGUCUGUCCCCAUGGGAAAUAGUCCUUGGGCUCCCAGACCCUGUUAGUCCCUCCCUCAGCCCCUCUCAGGGGUCCUGGCCCCUUUGGUCCCACUCUUAGCACCUAUCUGGGCUCCUGAGUGCUGCCUGGCUGGGCUAACCCAGCUAUUCCACGUCCCUCACUCCUGAGUCUGCAGGUGCUCACCAUCUUCCCCCUGCCACGUCUCUUGUCCAAUGAGAGGGGUGGUUUCCGGCAUGGCUCCACUCCUCCAGAGCUUCCCCAAUGCUUCUGCCUGUGUGCUGCCUCCAGCUGCUUCAGAGGUGCUGUGCGUGGCUCUGCCAGCCAUUCCAGACAUUCCACCUGUUCCUUGCGACUGUCUCUGGCUGUUCCAUUCUGUUUCCUCCCUAGCUGUUCCCUGUUCCUAGCCUGACCUGGCUGUCAUCCCAGUCUGUAACCUAGGAGGGCUAGGUAGCCUAGGAGGGCUUUUCCUGUAUGCAGUGUUGCUUGGUGUCCUAUGUCCAAACUCCUGCUACAGAUAUCCUCAUGGUAAUACUUGUAUUCUUAACUGGGAGCCCCUUUCAUGUGACUUAAGGAACUUUCUGUUGUGUUGCACCAUAUACAGAUCUGAGCUACCUGUAAAUGAGGUAGCUUGGGUACCUGGACACUGUAACAUAGUGCAGCCAUACCCAAUAGUGGACUUUCCAUCAUUACCAUAUUUCCUUGCAUACAAUGCACACCUUCCUGAGAAAUCAGCUCCCCAAAAUUGGGGUGUGUUUAUUAAGUGGGGGAAGCUGAUUUUCUGCCCAGGAUAGAAGCACCUCGCUUUAAUUCCCGCUCCACAGUGACAUUACUGUUCAGGUAGCUGAGGGAUUCAGUUGACUUACUGGCUCAUUGCUCUUUACUCCAGAGGUGUUAAUGACCAUAUUUAUCUUUUUAAUGGUCUUUAUGUUCCACUGAUCAAGCUAUCUUUAGGGCAGUGUUGCUGUCUGCCAGUUGCUCCUGGUCUCUCUCUCUCUCUCUCUUUCACAAGUCUUGGAGACUCUUUAGCUCUUUUCAAAAUCGUAGAUCUAGCCCUGGAGACCAGUCUUCAGCAGCAGCUAGGGUUUCAGUGUUAGUUAAGAAAGGGAGGGUGAUUCAGCUGAACAUUAGGUUCUGUACCAUUAUCAGUUCAUUCUGCCUUUCAAAAGCAAAAGCACAUAAUUCUGAGGCAUGCUGUAUGUAAGAAAAUUCAGGAAGAAAUUCUGAUCCUGAAAAUGCAUGAAGUAAAGGAGAAUGUCAAUUCCCACUUAAAUCUUGCAGUCAUAAAUAUUUUCAAAUGUAGAAAAAAUCAAGAUAAGUACAGAUUCUCUGCUUAACUGCAGUGGAACAUUAUUUACAGUAUACCUCCAGUGCCUGGGUCUUGGGUUUGCAGCCUGGGGGCUAUGAAGAUAAGCUCAGAGUUUUUAUGACCACCUUACUUCUUGUGGCUAGAUGGAAGGAGGGGUUUUUUUCAGUUUUAACAUGGGAUUAAAGUAUUGAAAAAGUUGAGAACCAGUGCCACAGUAAUUUAAUGCCAGAUCUGUCCUGGGAUCAGUUCAGUCAUAUACACAAUUAGAAAAAAGAACAACAAAAAAAAGCACAAUAGAAACUGUUGGCAAGUGUCCAUAGAUACUGCCCAAGGAUUGGAUUAAUAUGGAUGCUGAGCAUAUACUUUUCACCUACUGGUAACCCUUCAGAAGAAAUUGUGUAAGGGAAGGCUUGUAUUACAACAGUCCCAGCAUAUUUCAGAAAUGUUUUUUUUUUUAGUAAUUGCUAAGUAGACGUUAGUUUAAUAUCCAAUAUUGGUGACUGCACUUAAGUCUCAGACUAUGAACUACUGAACUUCUGAUGCUUUUCAUUAAAAAAAUUAACUUAUUUCAUGAAGCCCAUCCAUCUACAUGAAGUGACCCAUGUUUAUGUAGCAUUGUACAUUCUUGCCUUCAAAUGUGGACUUCCCAGUUUACAAAUCCAUUCCCACAAAUUAUGCAGUUGGACCUAUUUGUUAUUUGUAUACCCAGUUUUGAAGGUGAAGUGAGGCAAAAGGAAGGACAGAGCAAUAAAACUGGUUUUCAUCUUGAGGUUGGAAAUUGGUCCUUUUCAUUGCUUAGCAGAUGCAGGCAUGGUAGGAAAAGAUUUUUUUUCCUGAUCUGAUCUAGAGAAAAAAAAUUGUAUAAAAAGGUUAACCUCAACUAUCUGGAAAGCAUAAUACAUGUAUGUAACCUUUUUUUUUAUCUUUUAAAGUUAUUUAAACCAUGAAAAGUUGAUUCACAUAAGUUACUACAUUUUGUUAUGUAAUGUACAAGUGAAUGGAACUGUACUUGAAUACUUUAUUGUAUUGAUUAACUUGUCAAAAUGCUUGUAUUUCUUCACUAAUUUGAUAUUGAUUUUAACAUGUUAAUAUUAAAAUAAUUACAUAAAUAUUC